GAUCCUGGCUCAGGAUGAACGCUAGCUACAGGCUUAACACAUGCAAGUCGAGGGGCAGCGGUAUCGAAAGCUUGCUUUCGGUAGCCGGCGACCGGCGCACGGGUGAGUAACGCGUAUCGAACCUACCUCAUACUCGGGAAUAGCCUUGCGAAAGUAAGAUUAAUGCCCGGUGUUUUCAGAGUCCCCGCAUGAGGCUUUGAACAAAGAUUUAUCGGUAUGAGAUGGCGAUGCGUCCCAUUAGCUUGUUGGCGGGGUAACGGCCCACCAAGGCAUCGAUGGGUAGGGGUUCUGAGAGGAAGGUCCCCCACAUUGGAACUGAGACACGGUCCAAACUCCUACGGGAGGCAGCAGUGAGGAAUAUUGGUCAAUGGGCGGAAGCCUGAACCAGCCAAGUAGCGUGCAGGAAGACGGCCCUCCGGGUUGUAAACUGCUUUUAGUUGGGAAUAAAACGGGGCUCGUGAGCUCCCUUGCAUGUACCAUCAGAAAAAGGACCGGCUAAUUCCGUGCCAGCAGCCGCGGUAAUACGGAAGGUCCGGGCGUUAUCCGGAUUUAUUGGGUUUAAAGGGAGCGCAGGCGGACCUUUAAGUCAGCUGUGAAAUACGGCGGCUCAACCGUCGAACUGCAGUUGAUACUGGAGGUCUUGAGUGCGCACAGGGAUGCUGGAAUUCAUGGUGUAGCGGUGAAAUGCUCAGAUAUCAUGAAGAACUCCGAUCGCGAAGGCAGGCAUCCGGGGUGCAACUGACGCUGAGGCUCGAAAGUGCGGGUAUCAAACAGGAUUAGAUACCCUGGUAGUCCGCACAGUAAACGAUGAAUACUCGCGGUUUGCGAUACAGUGUAAGCCGCCAAGCGAAAGCGUUAAGUAUUCCACCUGGGGAGUACGCCGGCAACG
rnacentral:rRNA from 1 species